CAUCUCAAAGAGGCUGCUACUACCGGGUAACCUCCCGGAGUCACAUGGCUCCUGGAGAAAAGGUCCUGCAAGGGACUGGGGUGAGAGGUGUCCACGGUCCAUUAGCUACCUUGGAGGGGUAAAGGCCCGCCUUUGCGACGAUAGAUAGUCUGCCAGAGCAAGGCGAUCUGCCUCACUGCGACUGAUACACGGCCCAUACUCCUAGUGGAGGCAACACUCUCGAAUUUUGGGCAAUGGCCGAAAGGGCUGACCCAUCAACACCGCGUGAGUGAAAAAGGCCUUCGGGUUGCAAAGCUCUGUUACCCGUGAGGAACGGUGCUCAGAGGAAAUGCUGAGUACUUGACGGUAGUGGGGGAGGAAGCUCCGGCUAACUACGUGCCAGCAGCCGCGGUAAUACGUAGGGAGCGAGCGUUGUCCGGAUUUAUUGGGCGUAAAGGGCGUGUAGGCGGCUUGUUAAGUCUGGAGUGAAAAUCCGGGGCUCAACCCCGGAACUGCUUCGGAUACUGAUGAGCUUGAGUACUCUAGAGGGCAGUGGAAUUCCCGGUGUAACAGUGAAAUGCGUAGAGAUCGGGAGGAACACCAGUGGCGAAGGCGACUGCCUGGGGAGAAACUGACGCUGAGGCGCGAAAGCUGGGGGAGCAAACGGGAUUACAUACCCCGGUAGUCCCAGCCGUAAACGAUGAGUGCUAGGUGUAUCGGGUAUCGACCCCUGCUGUGCCGCACUUAACGCAAUAAGCACUCCGCCUGGGGAGUACGGCCGCAAGGUUGAAACUCAAAGGAAUUGACGGGGGCCCGCACAAGCAGCGGAUCAUGGUGGUAUAAUUCUAAGCAACGCGUAGAACCUUACCAGGGCUUGACAUGUAGCGAAUCCCUUAGAGAUAGGGGAGUGCUCCUUCGGGAGAGCGCUAACACAGGUGGUGCAUGGUUGUCGUCAUCUCGUGUCGUGAGCUGUUGGGUUAAGUCCCGCAACGAGCGCAACCCCUAUCGUAUGUUGCCAGCAGGUAAAGCUGGGCAAUCAUGCGAGACUCCCGGUGACAAACCGGAGGAAGGUGGGGAUGACGUCAAAUCAUCAUGCCCUUUAUGUCCUGGGCGACACACGUGCUACAAUGGGCGCCACAAAGCGACCCGAGACCGCGAGGUGGAGGAAUCGGCAAAAGGCGUUGGUAGAUCAGAUCGCGGGAUGCAACUCGCCUGCGUGAAGCGGGAGUUGGUCGUAAUCGGGGAUCAGCACGCCGCGGUGAAUACGUUCCCGGGCCUUGUACACACCGCCCGUCACACCAUGGGAGCUGGUAACACCCGAAGUCGGUGAGCUAACACG
rnacentral:rRNA from 1 species